AGGACGGACGCUGGCGGCGUGCUUAACACAUGCAAGUCGAGCGGAAAGGCCCUUCGGGGUACUCGAGCGGCGAACGGGUGAGUAACACGUGAGCAAUCUGCCCUUAGCUUCGGGAUAGCUCCGGGAAACCGGAAUUAAUACCGGAUACGACCACCUUAGACAUCUUUUGUGGUGGAAAGAAUUUCGGCUAGGGAUGAGCUCGCGGCCUAUCAGCUUGUUGGUGGGGUAACGCCUACCAAGGCGACGACGGGUA
rnacentral:rRNA from 1 species